GACGAACGCUGGCGGCGCGCUUAACACAUGCAAGUCGAACGGAAAGGCCUGCUUUCCCUUGUGGAUUGCGGGUACUCGAGUGGCGAACGGGUGAGUAACACGUGAGUGAUCUGCCCCCAACUUGGGUAUAAGCCUGGGAAACUGGGUCUAAUUCCCGAUAGGACUGCAGGGUGGUGCCUGUGGUGGAAAACGAUUUUCUAGUGGUUGGGGAUGAGCUCGCGGCCUAUCAGCUUGUUGGUGGGGUAAUGGCCUACCAAGGCGGCGACGGGUAGCCGGCCUGGGAGGGUGGACGGCCACAUUGGGACUGAGAUCCGGCCCAGACGCGUACGGGAGGUAGGAGUGGGGAAUAUUGCACAAUGGGCGGAAGCCUGAUGCAGCGACGCCGCGUGGGGGAUGACGGCCUUCGGGUUGCAAACUCCUUUCGACCGCGAGGAAGCCGCCUGGUUGGAAGGGUGGUGACGGUAGUGGUAGAAGAAGCACCGGCUAACUACGUG
rnacentral:rRNA from 1 species